GACGAACGCUGGCGGCGUGCCUAAUACAUGCAAGUUGAGCGCUGAAGGUUGGUACUUGUACCAACUGGAUGAGCAGCGAACGGGUGAGUAACGCGUGGGGAAUCUGCCUUUGAGCGGGGGACAACAUUUGGAAACGAAUGCUAAUACCGCAUAAAAACUUUAAACACAAGUUUUAAGUUUGAAAGAUGCAAUUGCAUCACUCAAAGAUGAUCCCGCGUUGUAUUAGCUAGUUGGUGAGGUAAAGGCUCACCAAGGCGAUGAUACAUAGCCGACCUGAGAGGGUGAUCGGCCACAUUGGGACGGAGACACGGCCCAAACUCCUACGGGAGGCAGCAGUAGGGAAUCUUCGGCAAUGGACGAAAGUCUGACCGAGCAACGCCGCGUGAGUGAAGAAGGUUUUCGGAUCGUAAAACUCUGUUGGUAGAGAAGAACGUUGGUGAGGGUGGAAAGCUCAUCAAGUGACGGUAACUACCCAGAAAGGGACGGCUAACUACGUG
rnacentral:rRNA from 1 species